UCGGGAAUUCAUUUAGCAACUAUUCCUUGUUGUUUCUUUAUUUUACUACCUUUUUAAUUGUCCUAUCGAUGGGAAGACAGCUGAAACAUCCCCGAUGCGGAGAGCCUAUAGACAAAGGAAUGUGUGGCUUUAAAUAUAACAGAUACCAUUACAACCCAGAUGCAAGAAAGUGUUUCUCAUUCUUCUAUAGAGGUUGUGCUUCAGGCGGAAACAACUUUAGGAGCUUGAAGAACUGCGUGAAGUUCUGCCAGGAUUAGUCCAGGAUCUAGUGCUCUUUAAUGUUGUGUUGUGUCACACAACUUGUGUGUUGUAUUAUAAAUUUUUAAAAUUUUUUCGCAUUGGAAAUGCAACGAAAAUUAAGUAGGCGAUCCAAUAUUUGUUUGAUCCUUAUUCCGGCAACCAUUUGCUGUUUUUGAAGAGGAUGAUUUAAAGGAUUUUAAGUUUUCAAAUAAAUUACAUGAUUUUUGUACUCUUCCUUUA